rnacentral:rRNA from 1 species
GACGAACUCUGGCGGCGUGCCUAAUACAUGCAAGUCGAACGCAUUUUCUUUCACCUUAGCUUGCUACCCCGAAAGAAAAUGAGUGGCGAACGGGGGAGAAACACGUCGGUAACCUGCCCAUCAGCGGGGGAAAACACUUGGAAACAGGUGCUAAUACCGCAUAAUUCCAUUUACCGUAUGGUAGAUCGAUGAAAGGCGCUUUUCCGUCACUGUUGGAUGGACCUGCGGUGCUUUUGCUUGGUGGAGGGGUCACGGCCUACCAAGGCUGGGAAGCAUACCCGAACUGGGGGGGUGAUCGGCCACCCUGGGACUGGGACCCGGCCCAAACGCCUACGGGGAGCAGCCGGAGGGAAUCUUCGGCAAGGGGCGGAAGGCUGACCGAGCAACGCCGCGGGAGGGAAGAAGGUUGUCGGAUCGUAAAACUCUGUUGUUAGGGAAGAAAAAGGAUGAGAGUGGAAAGUGCAUCCCUUGACGGUAUCUAACCAGAAAGCCACGGCUAACUACGUG